rnacentral:rRNA from 1 species
AAUCAACGCUGGCGGCGUGCCUCAGACAUGCAAGUCGAACGAUUAAAGCUCGUCUUCGGAGAGUGCAUAGAGUGGCGCACGGGUGAGUAACACGUAAGUAAUCUACCUUCGAGUGGGGAAGUAACGUCCGGAAACGGACGCUAAUACCGCAUAAUGCAGCGGGCAUCAUAAGAUGACAGUUGUUAAAGAUUUAUCGCUUGAAGAGGAGCUUGCGGCA